UCAAGUUUGAACCAUCCAAGAUCUUCUUAAAGAUGAAUAUGAUGAAGAUCUUUUUGAGUAUUAUGCCACCUCACAACUUCUUUUAGUUUCUUUAGACGGGAGUGUGAAAUUAUUUGGGGAGCCAACUCUAUACACAUCACUUGAUCCCUCCCCUGAUCAGAAAUACAUUUUACUGGGAGGAGAUACAAGAUGUUGGUGAUGCCAAAGUAGAAGUUUCACCUAGUGACACAGAUACGGGUGAAAAGAAGAUAAUAUGGCACAACGACAAGGAGAAGUAUUAUGAGAGUGUGGUGACUCUAAUGUUGGACCAGAAGGAAGGGGAGUUACAAGUGAAUGAGCUGAAGGUCCUGACCUCCAAAGAGUCUAACAAAUAUUGAGGUUUCUGUGAUUAAUAGAUAUUGAUAUAAUUAAGGUAAUUGUUAUUUAUUAGUUUUAGUUAAUUAUUAAUAUAUGUUAGUUUUAAUGGUUAAUUAAGGUAAUUGUCAUUAUUAAUAGCUAAUAUUCGUUAGUUUUAAUUAUCAAUAUCUAUUAAUAGCUAAUAUUUGGAGGUCCAAACCUCCAAAGAGUAACAAAC